CUGCACGGUUAAUAGACAACUCGUCGAUAUCUGAAGCAGAUCGUUAUUGGAUAUGAAGAAAUGUGCAGUGGAUAACAGCGAAACAUGUGGUAACCGACUGACUGACGGUAGUAAGGCUCACAGCCUAAGUUUUUCACUAUUUACACCGAUAAUGUAGCACGUAUUUGCGCAAAUAA
rnacentral:lncRNA from 1 species